rnacentral:rRNA from 1 species
UACGUAGGGUGCGAGCGUUAAUCGGAAUUACUGGGCGUAAAGCGUGCGCAGGCGGUGAUGUAAGACAGAUGUGAAAUCCCCGGGCUCAACCUGGGAACUGCAUUUGUGACUGCAUCGCUGGAGUGCGGCAGAGGGGGAUGGAAUUCCGCGUGUAGCAGUGAAAUGCGUAGAUAUGCGGAGGAACACCGAUGGCGAAGGCAAUCCCCUGGGCCUGCCCUGACGCUCAUGCACGAAAGCAUGGGGAGCAAACAGG